rnacentral:lncRNA from 1 species
GAAUUUUAAUUUCAUUUCCAGGCUAACCUACUUUUUAUUUAAUGCAAAUUACAGUACCAGUUAACUAUUUCCAAACCAAGUCACAUAGAACGAAAUGUAUUUACAAGGGAAUGGGGAAAGGGAAAAAAAACAUUGAGCAUACUUUUCACAAAAAAGUUUAUAUUUAAAAUGAAAAAAAAAAAUCAGUCACAGAGGCAUUCAAGUAGUAAUAAUGUUAUACAGAUUUUGCUUUUCCUUUAUAUCAAGACAGAUUUGCACAAGUGUUUGCAAUAGUUUGUAUACAACCCACAGUCAAGGAAGUCUACUUUGUCAAGUUAACCCCUUAUGUACUGGUUGUCAUUUUGCUUUUAUUGCAGAGGUGCAAAUGGAGCAACAAACUUGAAUAAAACGUCAUAACCCUUGUGAAAAUAAUCCAAACCCCAGAGAUUACUUCCAAAGCCUCUCAAACACAGACCUUAGUCUGGGGCUCUACUCUGCUUCUAGUUGUCUUAUUUUCAGUGGCUCAGGUUUCUACCAGAAAAGACAGAUUUUACUGUAAAGCAUACUUAGUUUAUUUUUCUAUAUAAGGGAUAUA